AAUAAAAGUUCAACUAAUGCUUUACUAGUAGUAAAGGGUUAGUUGAACAAUUAUUUCUAUAAUAUAGACUAAAUGGAUUAUUUAUAGUCUUGUUUAAUUUUAUAUUUUAGACAUAUGACAUGUAGUAACAUACCAUAUUAGUUUAAAUCAGUUGUAAAAUUAAAAAUGUUAACAUCUUUGAUAGGUAUAUUUAUUUAGGUUAGUUACUGCUAAGUUUACAUGGCUAGUUAAUAUGCUUUUAUAAAUUGCAAUUUUUAUUAAUUUCCAAAUUAAACAUGUGGCAUCUAAUAUCAUAAACUGGUUUAUACUGGUGUGUUUAUGUUAUUUUAGAAUUUUUUGUUUUAGACACAUGGCAUUUGUUAUCCCGCUGUAAGUUAAAACUAGUUGGAAAAUUAAAAAACUUAUAUUGGAACUUCUUUUUCUUUUAACAUUCAUGUUUAUUUAUUUAUACUAUCUUAGAAUUUGCUGCUUUAGAGGCACGGCAUUUAGUGUCACAUUUUAGGUUUAAAUUGGUUGUAGAAUUUAUAUUGUAACUUGCAUAUUUAUUUAGUUAAGUUUAAUCUAAGUUUAUAUCUGAUGUGUUUGUAUUAUUUUAGAAUUUACUGUUUUAGACACGUGGCAUGUGGUAUCCCACUGUAAGUUUGAAUUAGUAUAUUUAAAAAAAAAUUAUAUUUUAACUUGCAUUUCUUUUGACGUUCAUGUUUAUGUAAUUAGAUAACAACUAAGUUUGUGUAUGGCUUGUUUGUAUUAUUUCAGAAUUUGCUAUUUUAGACACUUGGUAUAAGCUGUCAUACUACAUGUGGCAUGUGAUAUCCCACUAAUUAGCUAUUUUAAACAUGUGACAAGUGGUAUGACACUGUAUUGAUGUAUGUGAAAUUUAUCGAGUCUUUCAGUUAUCAGAUAAUGUCAAGGAGUUGACAGCAUGGUGUCCAAUUAAAGUGCGAACCUGUGUACGAGUAACAACAGUAUUCAAAACCAAAACCUAUUUAAACCAACCAAACCAAAACUAGUAACCAAAAACUAUCUUGGCAUUGGUUUAUUUUAAACAUCUAAUAUAUAUAUAUAUGUGUGUUUUUUUUAUAUAAAUGUACUAGCUUGAGUAUAGUGUAUUAAAAAAAUGUUUCAAGUAUUUUCAUUGUAAUUUAAAGU